rnacentral:rRNA from 1 species
CUUGAUUUAACCAUAAGAGGUCCAGCCUGCCCAGUGACAUUGUUCAACGGCCGCGGUAUCCUAACCGUGCGAAGGUAGCGUAAUCACUUGUCCUUUAAAUAAGGACUAGUAUGAAUGGCCCCACGAAAGCUAUACUGUCUCCUUUUUCUAAUCAGUUAAACUAAUCUCCCCGUGAAGAAGCGGGGAUAAACAUAUAAGACGAGAAGACCCUAUGGAGCUUUAAAUAACUGAAACAUUUGCAUCCCACUUUAAAUUUCCGAAAUCUACACUUAAUUCCACAUCUUGUUUCUAGUUUUAGGUUGGGGUGACCACGGAGAAAAACCAAACCUCCAUGCCGAAAGAAACAUCUCUAAACAAAAAACUACAAUUUUAUGUAUUAACACAUUAACCUUAAUUGACCCAAUUUAUUGAUCAACGAAC